rnacentral:pre_miRNA from 1 species
UAUUUACUCCCUCCGUCCGGAAAUACUUGUCAUCAAAAUGAAUAAAAGGGAAUGUAUCUAGACGUAUUUUAGUUCUAGAUACAUCCCUUUCUAUCCAUUUUGAUGACAAGUAUUUUCGGGCGGAGGGAGUACUUG